rnacentral:rRNA from 1 species
UGAGGAUUGACAGAUUGAGAGCUCUUUCUUGAUUCUAUGGGUGGUGGUGCAUGGCCGUUCUUAGUUGGUGGGUUGCCUUGUCAGGUUGAUUCCGGUAACGAACGAGACCUCAGCCUGCUAAAUAGUCACGGUCGCUCCGGCGGCUGGCCGACUUCUUAGAGGGACUAUUGGCGUUUAGCCAAUGGAAGUAUGAGGCAAUAACAGGUCUGUGAUGCCCUUAGAUGUUCUGGUCGCACGCGCGCUACACUGACGCGUUCAACGAGCCUAUCCUUGACCGAGAGGUCCGGGUAAUCUUUGAAAACGCGUCGUGAUGGGGAUAGAUCAUUGCAAUUAUUGGUCUUCAACGAGGAAUGCCUAGUAAGCGCGAGUCAUCAGCUCGCGUUGAUUACGUCCCUGCCCUUUGUACACACCGCCCGUCGCUCCUACCGAUUGGGUGUGCUGGUGAAGUGUUCGGAUUGGCGAGAGGCGGUGGCAACACUGCUUCCUGCCGAGAAGUUCAU